AGCAGCCGCGGUAAUUCCAGCUCCAAUAGCGUAUAUUAAAGUUGCUGCAGUUAAAAAGCUCGUAGUUGAAUUUCGGGAUUAGUACGCUGGUCAUGCCUUUGGUAUGUACUGGUGUUACUGGUUCCUACCUUCUGAAGAACCGUUAUGUCAUUAAUUUGGUGUGGCGGGGAAUCAGGACUGUUACUUUGAAAAAAUUAGAGUGUUUAAAGCAGGCUCGCGCUUGAAUACAUUAGCAUGGAAUAAUGAAAUAGGACGUUGAUCCUAUUUUGUUGGUUUCUAGGAUUGACGUAAUGAUUAAAUAGGGAUAGUUGGGGGCAUUAGUAUUCAAUUGUCAGAGGUGAAAUUCUUGGAUUUAUUGAAGACUAACUACUGCGAAAGCAUUUGCCAAGGAUGUUUUCGUUAAUCAAGAACGAAAGUUAGGGGAUCGAAGACGAUCAGAUACCGUCGUAGUCUUAACCAUAAACUAUGCCGACUAGGGAUCGGAUGAUGUUAAUUUUUAAUGACUCAUUCGGCGUCCUUA
rnacentral:rRNA from 1 species